rnacentral:rRNA from 1 species
AUACGGAGGGUCCAAGCGUUAUCCGGAUUCAUUGGGUUUAAAGGGUCCGCAGGCGGGAAAAUAAGUCAGUGGUGAAAGCCUACAGCUCAACUGUAGAACUGCCAUUGAUACUGUUUUUCUUGAGUAUAGAUGAAGUGGGCGGAAUAUAUCAUGUAGCGGUGAAAUGCAUAGAUAUGAUAUAGAACACCGAUUGCGAAGGCAGCUCACUAAACUAUUACUGACGCUCAGGGACGAAAGCGUGGGGAGCGAACAGAAUUAGAUACCCCUGUAGUCC